CGGUAACAGCUCAAAUUUGAAAUCUGCCGCAAGGCCGAGUUGUAAUUUGUAGAGGAUGUUUCGGGCAAGGCAGUGGUUUAAGUUUCUUGGAACAGAACGUCAUAGAGGGUGAGAAUCCCGUCUAGAACCAACCGCCGCGUCCAUGUGAAACUCCUUCGAC
rnacentral:rRNA from 1 species